rnacentral:rRNA from 1 species
GACAUAGGUGGCAAACGUUAUCCGGAAUUAUUGGGCGUAAAGGAUGCGUAGAUGGUCUAGUAAGUUAUCAGUGGUAAAUCGGGGCCUAACCUCGUGGAAGUUGGUAAUACUGUUAGACUUGAGUAUCGGAGAGGUUAACGGAACUCCCUGUGGAGCGGUGAAAUGCGUAGAUAUGCGGAGGAACACCGAUGGCGAAGGCAAUCCCCUGGGCCUGCACUGACGCUCAUGCACGAAAGCGUGGGGAGCAAACAGG